AACGAACGCUGGCGGCAGGCUUAACACAUGCAAGUCGAACGGGCAUAGCAAUAUGUCAGUGGCAGACGGGUGAGUAACGCGUGGGAAUCUACCCAUCUCUACGGAAUAACUCAGGGAAACUUGUGCUAAUACCGUAUACGCCCUUUUGGGGAAAGAUUUAUCGGAGAUGGAUGAGCCCGCGUUGGAUUAGCUAGUUGGUGGGGUAAAGGCCUACCAAGGCGACGAUCCAUAGCUGGUCUGAGAGGAUGAUCAGCCACAUUGGGACUGAGACACGGCCCAAACUCCUACGGGAGGCAGCAGUGGGGAAUAUUGGACAAUGGGCGCAAGCCUGAUCCAGCCAUGCCGCGUGUGUGAUGAAGGCCUUAGGGUUGUAAAGCACUUUCACCGGAGAAGAUAAUGACGGUAUCCGGAGAAGAAGCCCCGGCUAACUUCGUGC
rnacentral:rRNA from 1 species